AUGAACGCUGGCGGCGUGCCUAAUACAUGCAAGUCGAGCGAACGGACGAGAAGCUUGCUUCUCUGAUGUUAGCGGCGGACGGGUGAGUAACACGUGGAUAACCUACCUAUAAGACUGGGAUAACUUCGGGAAACCGGAGCUAAUACCGGAUAAUAUUUUGAACCGCAUGGUUCAAAAGUGAAAGACGGUCUUGCUGUCACUUAUAGAUGGAUCCGCGCUGCAUUAGCUAGUUGGUAAGGUAACGGCUUACCAAGGCAACGAUGCAUAGCCGACCUGAGAGGGUGAUCGGCCACACUGGAACUUAGACACGGUCCAGGCUCCUACGGGAGGCAGCAGUAGGGAAUCUUCCGCAAUGGGCGGAAGCCUUACGGAGCAACGGCGCGUGAGUGAUGAAGGUCUUCGGAUCGUAAAACUCUGUUAUUAGGGAAGAACAUAUGUGUAAGUAACUGUGCACAUCUUGACGGUACCUAAUCAGAAAGCCACGGCUAACUACGUG
rnacentral:rRNA from 1 species